rnacentral:rRNA from 1 species
CUAGUAAUCGUAGGUCAGCAUACUACGGUGAAUACGUUCCCGGGCCUUGUACACACCGCCCGUCACACCAUGAGAGUUGGGGAUACCCGAAGCCUGUGAGCUAACAGUAAUGGAGCAGCAGUCGAAGGUAGAAUCAAUGAUUGGGGUGAAGUCGUAACAAGGUAGC